UACGUAGGUGGCAAGCGUUAUCCGGAUUUAUUGGGCGUAAGGGGAACGCAGGCGGUCUUUUAAGUCUGAUGUGAAAGCCUUCGGCUUAACCGGAGUAGUGCAUUGGAAACUGGGAGACUUGAGUACAGAAGAGGAGAGUGGAACUCCAUGUGUAGCGGUGAAAUGCGUAGAUAUAUGGAAGAACACCAGUGGCGAAAGCGGCUCUCUGGUCUGUAACUGACGCUGAGGUUCGAAAGCGUGGGUAGCAAACAGG
rnacentral:rRNA from 1 species